rnacentral:lncRNA from 1 species
UUGGGAUGAUUUUGGCAAUCAUUGGAACUGCUAUGUUGCCAUGGAUACUACACCAAAAAUUUCCAAAAUAUGGAAAUGCUCCAAAUUUUAUAAAACUUCACAGUAACGAUGAGCAACAUUGGUAGAUGUGGAAUUUGGCGUUGGAAUUUCGAAAAUGUCUGCCGUUACCAUGGAAACAAUGCAAAACAGGUCAAAAUGGUCCAAAAACACCUAAAAGUGGCAUUUACUUUCUUAAAAUGGUAGGUCAAAUCCAUUGAAACU